UACGUAGGGUGCGAGCGUUGUCCGGAAUUACUGGGCGUAAAGAGCUCGUAGGUGGUUUGUCGCGUUGUUCGUGAAAUCUCACGGCUUAACUGUGAGCGUGCGGGCGAUACGGGCAGACUAGAGUACUGCAGGGGAGACUGGAAUUCCUGGUGUAGCGGUGGAAUGCGCAGAUAUCAGGAGGAACACCAAUGGCGAAGGCAGCUCACUGGGACGAUACUGACGCUGAGACGCGAAAGCGUGGGGAGCAAACAGG
rnacentral:rRNA from 1 species